GACGCGGUGGCCUAAUGGUUAUUGCCCUGGACUCCGGACCGAGCGGUCCGAGUUCGAGCCCUGGCCUGGGUCA
rnacentral:tRNA from 1 species